rnacentral:rRNA from 1 species
UGCCGAAUCAACUAGCCCUGAAAAUGGAUGGCGCUUGAGCGAGGGACCUAUACCCAGCCGUUGCUGGCUUGUGCGUUGUCUAGCGCCUGGCCGCAACGAGUAGGAGGGUCGUGGCGGUUGCGUCGAAGGCUUUGGGCGUAGGCCCAGCUGGAGCUUCCGUCAGUGCAGAUCUCGGUGGUAGUAGCAAAUAUUUAAGUUCGAUCCUUGAAGACUGAAGUGGAGAAGGGUUCCACGUGAACAGUAGUUGAAUGUGGGUCAGUCGAUCCUAAGAUACUGGCUUAUGCCUUGUAUCAUUGAGAGGGAAAAGUUUCUUUUCUCUCGGAUAUCAAAAGGGAAUAGGGUUAAUAUUCCCUAACGCAGACACAGAGAUUGCGGCUCUUUGAGUCGCUUGCGCGGUAACGCAUUCGAACUUGGUUACGUCGCUCAGAGACCGAGCUAGAGUUCUCUUCUCUAGUUAAGGAACGGACUCCCUGGAAUCGGUUCAGCCGUAGAUAGGGACGUUGUUUCCGUAAAGCAUCGCGGUUUCUGUGAUGUCUCGUGUUCUCUGGACGGCCCUUGAAAAACCAAGGAAGGCUAUCAAUCUGUGCUGCAUCGUACCGAUAUCCGCAUCAGGUCUCCAAGGUGAACAGCCUCUA